rnacentral:ncRNA from 1 species
UGUCUCCUCCAUGUCUCCUCCUGAUAUGGAUUCACCCGCUCAACUUGAGCGGGUUUUUUUU